rnacentral:rRNA from 1 species
AUCUUCCGCAAUGGACGAAAGUCUGACGGAGCAACGCCGCGUGAGUGAUGAAGGCUUUCGGGUCGUAAAACUCUGUUGUUAGGGAAGAACAAGUACGAGAGUAACUGCUCGUACCUUGACGGUACCUAACCAGAAAGCCACGGCUAACUACGUGCCAGCAGCCGCGGUAAUACGUAGGUGGCAAGCGUUAUCCGGAAUUAUUGGGCGUAAAGCGCGCGCAGGCGGUUUCUUAAGUCUGAUGUGAAAGCCCACGGCUCAACCGUGGAGGGUCAUUGGAAACUGGGGAACUUGAGUGCAGAAGAGAAAAGCGGAAUUCCACGUGUAGCGGUGAAAUGCGUAGAGAUGUGGAGGAACACCAGUGGCGAAGGCGGCUUUUUGGUCUGUAACUGACGCUGAGGCGCGAAAGCGUGGGGAGCAAACAG